AUAUAGGCCAAAAGUUUGUUGAGGUUUUCUGCAUCAUAUGGAAAAACUCAAAUGAACUUUUUGGCCAACCCAAU
rnacentral:miRNA from 1 species